rnacentral:rRNA from 1 species
CCUACGGGUGGCAGCAGUCGAGAAUCAUUCACAAUGGGGGAAACCCUGAUGGUGCGACGCCGCGUGGGGGAAUGAAGGUCUUCGGAUUGUAAACCCCUGUCAUGUGGGAGCAAAUUAAAAAGAUAGUACCACAAUAGGAAGAGACUGCUAACUCUGUGCCAGCAGCCGCGGUAAUACAGAGGUCUCAAGCGUUGUUCGGAAUCACUGGUCGUAAAGCGUUCGUAGGCUGUUUCGUAAGUCGUGUGUGAAAGGCGCGGGCUCAACCCGCGGACGGCACAUGAUACUGGGAGACUAGAGUAAUGGAGAGGGAACCGGAAUUCUCGGUGUAGCAGUGAAAUGCGUAGAUAUCGAGAGGAACACUCGUGGCGAAGGCAGGUUACUGGACAGUAACUGACGCUGAGGCACGAAGGCCAGGGGAGCGAAAGGGAUUAGAUACCCCAGUAGUC